GCGCCCAUAGCUCAGUGGAUAGAGCACCGGUCUUCUAAACCGAUGGUCGACGGUUCGAAUCCGCCUGGGCGCACCA
rnacentral:tRNA from 3 species